GAUGAAGAACGCAGCGAAAUGCGAUACGUAGUGUGAAUUGCAGAAUUCCGUGAACCAUCAAAUCUUUGAACGCAUAUUGCGCUCGAGGCUUCGGCCGAGAGCAUGUCUGCCUCAGCGUCGGUAUUACCCCUCGCUUCUCAACCCCUGGUUGAUGCCUGCCUGCCUUUGCAGUUGGCUAGAAGCGGAUCUGGUUUUCCCAAUUGCCUUUGGUAGUUGGGUCAGCUGAAGCACAGAGGCUUGAGCAAGGACCCUUAUUGGGCUUCAACUGGAUAGGUAGAACUGGUCUUAGGACCAACUACACGAAGUUGUUGCUUGUGGUCUUUGUCUGGAGGCCAGCAGGAAACCUUUAUACCUUCGACCUGAGCUCAGGCAAGAUUACCCGCUGAACUUAAGCAUAUCAAUAAGCGGAGGA
rnacentral:misc_RNA from 1 species